UACGUAGGGUGCAAGCGUUAAUCGGAAUUACUGGGCGUAAAGCGUGCGCAGGCGGCGCGUUAAGACAGGUGUGAAAGCCCCGAGCUUAACUUGGGAAUUGCGCUUGUGACUGGCGUGCUGGAGUGUGGCAGAGGGAGGUGGAAUUCCAGGUGUAGCGGUGAAAUGCGUAGAUAUCUGGAGGAACACCGGUGGCGAAGGCGGCCCGCUGGGCAGGAAGGCUCGCAAGAGCCGGCUGACGCUGAGGCGCGACAGCGUGGGGAGCAAACGGG
rnacentral:rRNA from 1 species